UACGUAGGAUGCAAGCGUUGUCCGGAUUUACUGGGCGUAAAGCGCGCGCAGGCGGCACUCUAAGUACGUCGUGAAAUAUCCCGGCUCAACCGGGAGGGUGCGAUGUAGACUAGGGAGCUAGAGGUCGGUAGAGGGGGGGUGGAAUUGCUGGUGUAGCGGUGAAAUGCGCAGAUAUCAGGAGGAACACCGGUGGCGAAGGCGGGUCUCUGGGCCGAUACUGACGCUGAGGAGCGAAAGCGUGGGGAGCGAACAGG
rnacentral:rRNA from 1 species